rnacentral:tmRNA from 1 species
GGGGCUGACAGGAUCUCUACAUGUGUUCUAUUACUAUUUUUAUACUUAAUACAACUAUGUUUAUAACAUUAUUGUAUAUUCGAUUUUUCUAAUUGCAAAACAUAAUAUAGUAGCUUUUUCAAGAAAUUUAGUGAAUGUAUAAAUAAGCUUAUUCUAAAUUGUAAUACUUAAUACAAUUUUUCUUUCAGUUGCUCUACAUUUAUUUUUUAUAUUUGUAGUUAAGUCAUAAUUUUGUUAGUACUAUUAAAUAAAAAAUUCAUAUAAAAUUAGUUUUAUAGAAUACAUGGACGUGGGUUCAAAUCCCACCAGUUCCA